GAUGAACGCUGGCGGCGUGCCUAAUACAUGCAAGUCGAGCGAACAGACGAGGAGCUUGCUCCUCUGACGUUAGCGGCGGACGGGUGAGUAACACGUGGAUAACCUACCUAUAAGACUGGGAUAACUUCGGGAAACCGGAGCUAAUACCGGAUAAUAUAUUGAACCGCAUGGUUCAAUAGUUAAAGACGGUUUUGCUGUCACUUAUAGAUGGAUCCGCGCCGCAUUAGCUAGUUGGUAAGGUAACGGCUUACCAAGGCAACGAUGCGUAGCCGACCUGAGAGGGUGAUCGGCAACACUGGAACUGAGACACGGUCCAGACGCCUACGGGAGGCAGCAGUAGGGAAUCUUCCGCAAUGGGCGAAAGCCUGACGGAGCAACGCCGCGUGAGUGAUGAAGGUCUUCGGAUCGUAAAACUCUGUUAUUAGGGAAGAACAAAUGUGUAAGUAACUAUGCACGUCUUGACGGUACCUGAUCAGAAAGCCACGGCUAACUACGUG
rnacentral:rRNA from 1 species